UACGUAGGGGGCGAGCGUUGUCCGAAGUUACUGGGCGUAAAGAGCGCGUAGGCGGGCUUCUAAGUGAGAGGUGAAAGGUUCGGGCUCAACCCGGAGAGUGCCUUUCAUACUGGGAGCCUUGAGUGCGGGAGAGGCAAGUGGAAUGGUCGGUGUAGCGGUGAAAUGCGCAGAUAUCGGGAGGAACACCGGUGGCGAAGGCGGUUCUCUGGGCCUGUACUGACGCUGAGGAGCGAAAGCGUGGGGAGCGAACAGG
rnacentral:rRNA from 1 species